rnacentral:misc_RNA from 1 species
AAUUUUAAAAAUAGAUCAAAUAAGGCCUUUAAUUUUUUAAAAAUAGAUCAAAAGAGACUGAACUAUAAUUUGCCUCGAAUAUAAAUCCUGCGUAUCUGAUCUGCAAUAUCUCAAUGAAUAUUUGUUGCAUCUUAAAGCAGAUUGACAAGUCGUUCUUUAUCGAAUGGUUCAAGAAGUUUUCCUAUGAGUUCAUCAACUUUAUCAUAAUCAUUGUCACCAAGUUGAUUAUAAUCUGAUGAGAUCUGAUUCUGAUUAUUUUAUUGAGAAUACUCUUCUUCUUUGUCAUUGCUGCUGUCAUCCUCUUCUUCUACACAGGUAAUAAUAUUAAAAGAGUGGUCCAGAUUACAAAAUGUGAGAGAAAUCAAUCAGAAUUCAAAGGUUAGGUUUUUGGAAUUUAAGGAAUGCUUCUUUGGUGAGCAUGUGAAGGUGAAUUUGGGUUUGAGAUUUUUGGUCUAAUUUCGAAUUGGGUCUCUACCAAUGUUCAAAUUCGUGUUCUUCGGCUUGGAGGGUUGGAAGGUCAAUGUAUUCAGUUGGUGGGGAUUAGCUAUUAUAGGCAAAGGAUAAUGAGGACACGUGGAGGAAACUGAUGAAUUCAUAAUUUGGGAGAAUAGAGGGAUGAAAUCUAGAAAAGAGAACUUUUGGCCUUUUUAGUGUAGAGGUAAACAUCACCAAAGAAAGUUAGUUAUAGAGAGAUGAGGUAGAACAAGAAGAAAAUAUAUAAAUUGGAGCAAUGGCUUAUUUAAUCUAUUUUUAAAGUUUGAAGGGUUUAUUUGUCCAUUAACGGCUUAUUUAAUCUAUUUUUAAAAAAUUGAAGGACUUAUUUGAUCUUUUUUAAAAUUUGAAGGGCUGAUUCAGACGCUAAGAAAGUUUAAUGGUUUAUGUGACUAUUAGUCUAAACUUUAAGGGUUAAAUAGACCUUUUGCCAAAAAAUUAAGUGUUAUGAAUUUGUUUUAUUCAAAAUUAAAAAAAA